CGGUUGAGAGGGCUGCUUUGGCGGUCCGCCGGAUGAAAAUCCGCUCGGCUG
rnacentral:ncRNA from 1 species